rnacentral:rRNA from 1 species
UGGGGAAUCUUGCACAAUGGGCGAAAGCCUGAUGCAGCAACGCCGCGUGCGGGAAGACAGCCCUAGGGUUGUAAACCGCUUUCAGCAGGGAAGAAACUGACGGUACCUGCAGAAGAAGAUGCGGCCAACUACGUGCCAGCAGCCGCGGUGACACGUAGGCAUCAAGCGUUAUCCGGAUUUAUUGGGCGUAAAGAGCUCGUAGGCGGUUCGGUAAGUCGGGUGUGAAAACUCUGGGCUCAACCCAGAGAGGCCACUCGAUACUGCUGUGACUAGAGUGCGGUAGGGGAGCGGGGAAUUCCUGGUGUAGCGGUGAAAUGCGCAGAUAUCAGGAGGAACACCAGUGGCGAAGGCGCCGCUCUGGGCCGUAACUGACGCUGAGGAGCGAAAGCAUGGGUAGCAAACAGGAUUAGAUACCCUGGUAGUCCACGCCGUAAACGGUGGGCGCUAGGUGUGGGGAUCGUUUCCACGAUCUCCGUGCCGUAGCUAACGCAUUAAGCGCCCGCCUGGGAGUACGG